rnacentral:rRNA from 1 species
CCAGACUCCUACGGGAGGCAGCAGUGGGGAAUAUUGCACAAUGGGGGAAACCCUGAUGCAGCGACGCCGCGUGAGCGAUGAAGUAUUUCGGUAUGUAAAGCUCUAUCAGCAGGGAAGAAAAUGACGGUACCUGACUAAGAAGCCCCGGCUAACUACGUGCCAGCAGCCGCGGUAAUACGUAGGGGGCAAGCGUUAUCCGGAUUUACUGGGUGUAAAGGGAGCGUAGACGGCGGUGCAAGCCAGAUGUGAAAGCCCGGGGCUCAACCCCGGGACUGCAUUUGGAACUGUGCUGCUAGAGUGUCGGAGAGGCAGGCGGAAUUCCUGGUGUAGCGGUGAAAUGCGUAGAUAUCAGGAGGAACACCGGUGGCGAAGGCGGCCUGCUGGACUGCGACUGACGUUGAGGCCCGAAAGCGUGGGGAGCAAACAGGAUUAGAUACCCGCGUAAUC